CCUACGGGUGGCAGCAGUAGGGAAUAUUGCACAAUGGGGGAAACCCUGAAGCAGCGACGCCGCGUGAGGGAUGAAGGUUUUAGGAUUGUAAACUCCUUUUGUGAGCGAAGAUAAUGACAGUAUCUCACCAAUAAACACCGGCUAACUCAGUGCCAGCGGCCGCGGUAAUACGGAGGGUGCAAGCGUUACUCGGAAUCACUGGGGGUAAAGAGUGCGCAGGCGGGCUUGUAAGUCUGAUGUGAAAUCCUGUUGCUUAACUACAGAACUGCAUUUGAAACUAUGAGUCUAGAGUGUGGGAGAGGUAGGUGGAAUUCUUGGUGUAGGGGUAAAAUCCGUAGAUAUUAAGAGGAACACGCAUGGCGAAGGCGACCUACUGGAACAUUACUGACGUUCAGGCACGAAAGCGUGGGGAGCAAACAGGAUUAGAUACCCCUGUAGUC
rnacentral:rRNA from 1 species